rnacentral:rRNA from 1 species
GACGUAGGGGGCCAGCGUUGUUCGGAAUUACUGGGUGUAAAGGGUUCGUAGGCGGUUCGGCAAGUCGGGAGUGAAAUCUCUGGGCUUAACCCAGAGGCUGCUUCCGAAACUGCUGUGCUUGAGUGUGGGAGAGGCGCGUGGAAUUGCAGGUGUAGCGGUGAAAUGCGUAGAUAUCUGCAGGAACACCCGUGGCGAAAGCGGCGCGCUGGACCACUACUGACGCUGAGGAACGAAAGCUAGGGGAGCAAACAGG